rnacentral:rRNA from 1 species
UGAAGUGAAGAAGAGCACAGGGUGGAUGCCUUGGCGCCAGGUGCCGAUGAAGGACGCGGGACACUGCGAAAAGCCUCGGGGAGCCGUGCACAGGCUGCGAUCCGGGGAUGUCCGAAUGGGGAAACCCGCGGCCGCCGAACAAGCGGCCGCAUCCGGCCGUGAACACAUAGCGGUGCGGAGGGGCACCCGGGGAACUGAAACAUCUCAGUACCCGGAGGAAAAGAAAGAAUUCCCCCAGUAGUGGCGAGCGAACGGGGAAGAGCCCAAACCAGGCCCUGCGGGGUCUGGGGUUGAAGGGCCUGCCGACAAAGCCUGAAACGGAGCUAGCGGAAGGGCGUGGAAACGCCUGCCAGAGAGGGUGACAGCCCCGUACGCGAAAGUGAAGGGAAGGCGAGGCAGGUACCUGAGUACUGCCGGGCACGCUAAUCCGGCAGGAAGCUGGGGAGUCCACUCUCCAAGGCUAAAUACACCUGGCGACCGAUAGUGCACCAGUACCGUGAGGGAAAGGUGAAAAGUACCCCGGUGAGGGGAGUGAAAGAGAUCCUGAAACCCUGUGCUUACAAGCAGUUGGAGGGCGGUGCCCGGGCAACCGGGCCGCCUGACAGCGUGCCUCUUGGAGAAUGAGCCUGCGAGUUAAUCUGUGUGGCGAGGUUAAGCCAGCGACAGGCGGAGCCGGAGCGAAAGCGAGUCUGAACAGGGCGAGAAGUGGCACAGAUUAGACCCGAAACCGGGUGAGCUACCCAUGGCCAGGGUGAAGCGAGGGUAACAGCUCGUGGAGGCCCGCACCUACUAACGUUGCAAAGUUAGGGGAUGAGCUGUGGGUAGGGGUGAUAUGCCAAACGAACCCGGAGAUAGCUGGUUCUCCCCGAAAUAGCUUUAGGGCUAGCGCGGCGGGGAGUGUUCCGGAGGUAGAGCACUGAAUGGGCAAGGGGGCGUUACGCUUACCGACCCCAAUCAAACUCCGAAUGCCGGGACAUAUCUGCCGCAGUCGGACUGCGGGUGAUGAGAUUCGUGGUCGAGAGGGAAACAACCCAGAUCAUCGGCUAAGGUCCCCAAGUGACCGCUCAGUGGGAAACGAGGUGGGGUUACUGGAACAACCAGGAGGUUGGCUUAGAAGCAGCCACCCUUUAAAGAGUGCGUAAUAGCUCACUGGUCUAGUGAUCCUGCGCGGAAAAUUCAACGGGGCUAAGCGGUCCACCGAAGCCAUGGGCUCUUUGUAAAAAGAGCGGUAGGGGAGCGUUCUGCUCAGCGGAGAAGGUCGACCGGAAGGACGGCUGGAGCGGGCAGAAGUGAGAAUGCAGGCAUGAGUAGCGUAAAACACGUGAGAACCGUGUUCACCGUACAUCUAAGGGUUCCGACGCCAGGUCAAUCCGCGUCGGGUUAGUCGGGGCCUAAGCCGAGGCCGCAAGGCGUAGGCGAUGGACAGCCGGUCAACAUUCCGGCACCGCGGUUGGGGAGCGAGGCGGGGACGCAGUGAGGUAGGCCAGCCUGCGACUGGUUGUGCAGGUGCCUGCGCUGUCAGACGAAGAGGCCCACUGGCAAAUCCGUGGGCUGAGUUGAGAGCGCGGGGCGAGCCGUCAAGGCAUAAGUGAGCUGAGCCUGGCUGCCGAGAAAAGCCGCUAAGUGAUGAACCGACCGCGCCCGUACCGCAAACCGACACUGGUGGAUGGGUAGAGUAUACCAAGGUGAACGGGAGAACCUUCGUUAAGGAAUUAGGCAAAUUAGCCCCGUAACUUCGGGAGAAGGGGUGCCCCUGGGGGUGGGUCCGAAAGGGCGUAGCGUCUGGGGGUCGCAGUGAAAGGGUUCUAGUGACUGGUUACCAAAACCACAGGUCUCUGCCAAGUCGAAAGACGACGUAUAGGGGCUGACGCCUGCCCAGUGCCGGAAGGUUAAGGGGAGAGGUUAGCGUGAGCGAAGCUUUGAACCGAAGCCCCGGUGAACGGCGGCCGUAACUAUAACGGUCCUAAGGUAGCGAAAUUCCUUGUCGGGUAAGUUCCGACCCGCACGAACGGCGUAACAACUAGAACACUGUCUCAACGAAGGACCCGGUGAAAUUGAAAUGGCUGUGAAGAUGCGGCCUACCCGCAGCAGGACAAAAAGACCCCGUGGAGCUUUACUGCAGUUUGGCAUUGCAUUUGGGCAUGGCUUGUGUAGGAUAGGUGGGAGUCUGAGAACUCGGGCCGCCAGGCUCGGGGGAGACAGCGGUGAAAUACCACCCUGGCGAUGUUUAGAUCCUAACCUGGACCCGUAAACCGGGCCGGGGACCGUGCCAGAUGGGCAGUUUGACUGGGGCGGUCGCCUCCUAAAAGGUAACGGAGGCGCCCAAAGGUUCCCUCCGGGUGAAUGGAAACCACCCUGAGAGUGUAAAGGCAGAAGGGAGCUUGACUGCAAGACCAACGCGUCGCGCAGGGUCGAAAGACGGGCUUAGUGAUCCCACGGACCUGAGUGGAAGGGCCGUGGCUUACCGGAUAAAAGCUACCCCGGGGAUAACAGGCUGGUGAAGUCCAAGAGUUCACAUCGACGACUUCGCUCGGCACCUCGAUGUCGGCUCAUCGCAUCCUGGGGCUGGACAAGGUCCCAAGGGUCGGGCUGUUCGCCCGUUAAAGCGGUACGCGAGCUGGGUUCAGACCGUCGUGAGACAGGUCGGUCUCUAUCCGCUGUGGGCGUCAGGGAUUUGAGAGGAGCUGCCCCUAGUACGAGAGGACCGGGGUGGACAGACCGCUGGUGUGCCAGUUGUCGUGCCAACGGCAUCGCUGGGUAGCCACGUCUGGCAGGGAUAACCGCUGAAAGCAUCUAAGCGGGAAGCUCGCCUCAAGAUGAGAUCCCUCACUCCUUAGGGAGGUAAGAUCGCAGGAAGACCACCUGCUGGAUAGGCGGGAGGUGGAAGCGCUGCAAGGCGCGCAGCCAACCCGUACUAAUGAUCGAGGGCUUUGCGUG